GCAUCAGCAUUUCUGCACAGCACAGCCCUGGGAGCACAAAAGCUGCGGGAAGGAGCAGGGGGUCCCCGGUUUUGCUGGGGGCCCCACCCGGCGCUCCCCGGUGUGGGAGGCCUGGCCCAGCCGCAAACACGCCCAUCUCCACCAGGCAGGAGCCCCGUGCACAGAUGUUGCAAAGUUAUGAGAUGAUUUUCGGGCCUCCAUGGGGUGAAAAGGGUGGAUUUGUCCGAGAGGGCCAUCCCUGUGGCGUUGUUUUUGGUAAGCACAAGCAUGAUUUCAUUUCCAUGGCAAUUCUGGGAAAAGAUCCUGAUGGAGCACAGCAGUUGGCCGAAUACAUAUGGAGCCCAGGGACCCAGGAAUGAAUAGUGAAUGGAGAAAUGGCUGGAAUCUGCCUUCAGCUUUGUCUCCGGGAUGACUGAUGUUAAGAGACCUAAGAGCUUGCAGCACAGAUGGCAGGAGGAGGCAGGUUGGAGGAGAAAAAGGAGGAGAAGACUCAAGAAGCCUGAACCAGUCACAGCCUGGAGAACUCCAAGUCUUGGAUACUGGCGUGCUGUGCCAUAUUUUAAGGCUUGGUCCGCUGAGUAACUGAUCCUCAAAGAGCCGCAGGUUCCUGAGCUCUAGCAUUCUGAGUGGAGAGAGUUUGACUGAAGUGGCUUUAUAGAGCCUUAGACGUCUCUGAUAACACUCAGCAAAUAUCCUCUCAUUGACUCAUGCUAGCCCUCCACGUACAGAAUAAAAAACCCUCUGGCCUGGACUUCUGGAUUCGGGUUGAAGAGUCUCUACCACCCACAAGAAGUGUUUGCCUAGUAAGAGCUAACCAGAAUUCAGGACUUUCUAUCCACCAGGCAUCUUCUAAGUGUUUUACAAGUGUCAUUUUAUAUAAUCCUCGCAACAGUGUGUUGAGCAAUCCAAGUGCCCAUCAACAAAUGAAUGGAUAAACAAAAUGUGGUCUGUACAUGCAAUGGAAAAUCAUUUGGCCCUGAAAAAGGAAUGGAGUCCUGAUGCAUGCAACAACACGGACGAACCUUGAAAACAUCAAGCUGAGUGAAAUAAGCCAGACACAAAGGGACAAAUAUUGUAUGGUCUCACUGAUAGGAAAUAAGCAGAAUAAGAAUAGUCAUGAUGUCAGAAACUAGAAUACGUGUUACUGGGGACAUGAGAGGUUGGGGAAUGGGGAGUUAAUGUUAAUUGGUUUGGAGUUUCUGUUUGGGGGAUGGAAAAGAUUUGGUAAUGGAUGGUGGGGAUGGAGGCACAACUUUUUGUAUGUAAUUGACAUCACUGAAUUGUAUAUUUGAAAAGGGAAUAAAAGGGAAGUUUUAAGUUUGUAUAUAAAUUAGCACACACACACACAAACCCAUAGAACUGUAGAACACAAUGUAAACAGUUUGCUACAUGAAUAGCAUAAUUAUAAUAAUAUUGGUUCACCAGUUGCAACAAAGUUACCACACUAAUGCGAAAUGUUAAUAAUGGGGAAAAUGGGUGUGAGAGGGGCAUACAUGGGAACUUUGUACUAUCUGCAUGAUGCUUGUGUAAACCUAAAACGGUUCUAAUAAAAAAAUUUUUUUUUAA